GACGAACGCUGGCGGCGUGCUUAACACAUGCAAGUCGUACGGUAAGGCCCUUUCGGGGGUACACGAGUGGCGAACGGGUGAGUAACACGUGAGUAACCUGCCCACAACUUUGGGAUAACGCUAGGAAACUGGUGCUAAUACUGGAUAUGUGCUCCUGCUGCAUGGUGGGGGUUGGAAAGCUCCGGCGGUUGUGGAUGGACUCGCGGCCUAUCAGCUUGUUGGUGGGGUAGUGGCCUACCAAGGCGGCGACGGGUAGCCGGCCUGAGAGGGUGACCGGCCACAUUGGGACUGAGAUACGGCCCAGACCCCUACGGGAGGCAGCAGGGGGGAAUAUUGCACAAUGGGCGCAAGCCUGAUGCAGCAACGCCGCGGGCGGGAUGACGGCCUUCGGGUUGUAAACCGCUUUCAGCAGGGACGAAGCUUUUUGUGACGGUACCUGCAGAAGAAGCACCGGCUAACUACGUG
rnacentral:rRNA from 1 species